UACGAGGGGGGCAAGCGUUGUUCGGAAUUAUUGGGCGUAAAGGGCGCGUAGGCGGUGCGGUAAGUCACCUGUGAAAACUCUGGGCUCAACUCAGAGCCUGCAGGCGAAACUGCCGUGCUUGAGUGUGGGAGAGGUGCGUGGAAUUCCCGGUGUAGCGGUGAAAUGCGCAGAUAUCAGGAGGAACACCGGUGGCGAAGGCGGAUCUCUGGGCCGAUACUGACGCUGAGGAGCGAAAGCGUGGGGAGCGAACAGG
rnacentral:rRNA from 1 species